rnacentral:sRNA from 1 species
GUCGAGAGCUCCCCCGCUUGCCCAGUCUUAUCACUGCGAGUGUCAGCUCCAGCAACUGUUCGGGCGGAUCAAGGGAGAUUCCGGCGUGGGCGCCAAGCUACAAGGCGAUCGUCAAGAUCCAGGCUUACACG